rnacentral:rRNA from 1 species
GACGAACGCUGGCGGCGUGCUUAACACAUGCAAGUCGAACGGAACGGCCCUGCUUUUGUGGGGUGCUCGAGUGGCCAACGGGUGAGUAACCUGUGGGUUACCUGUCCUUGACUUUGGGAUAACUUCAGACAAAUGGUGCCCAUCCCGGAUAGGAGCUCCUGCUGUAAGGUGGGGGUUGGACAGUUUCGGCGGUUGGGUAUGGACUUGCCGCUUAUCAGCUUGUUGGUGGGGUAGUGGCUUACCAAGGCUUUGACGGGUAGCCUGCCUGAGAGGGUGACCGGCCACAUUGGGACGGAAAUGCGGCCCAGACUCCUACGGGAGGCAGCAGAGGAGAAUAGUACACGAUGGACGGAAGCCUAAUGCAGCAACGCCGCGUGCGGGAUGACGUCCUUCGGUUUGGAAUCCGCUUUCGCCUGUGACGGAGCGUGAGUGACGGUAAUGGGUAAAGAAGCACCGGCUAACUACGUG